rnacentral:rRNA from 1 species
UUUAUCAAAAACAUCGCCUCUUGCAAAAUCAACGAAUAAGAGGUCCCGCCUGCCCAGUGACUAUAUGUUUAACGGCCGCGGUAUUUUGACCGUGCAAAGGUAGCGCAAUCACUUGUCUUUUAAAUGGAGACCUGUAUGAAUGGCACCACGAGGGCUUAACUGUCUCCUUUCUUAAGCCAAUGAAAUUGAUCUCUCCGUGCAGAAGCGGGGAUAAUACCAUAAGACGAGAAGACCCUAUGGAGCUUUAGACACCAAGGCAGCCUACGUUAAGUACCCUCUAAUAAGAGACAAAACUAGGUAGAUCCUGCCCUAAUGUCUUCGGUUGGGGCGACCCCGGGGAAAUAAAUAACCCCCAUGAGGAAUGGAAGCAUGCUUCCAGAACCAAGAGCUACCGCUCUAAGUACCAGAACUUCUGACCAUCAGAUCCGGCGUAAAGCCGAUCAACGGACCGAGUUACCCUAGGGAUAACAGCGCAAUCCCCUUCUAGAGUCCAUAUCGACAAGGGGGUUUACGACCUCGAUGUUGGAUCAGGACAUCCUAAUGGUGCAGCCGCUAUUAAGGUUCGUUUGUUCAACGAUUAAAGUCCUACGUGAUCUGAGUUCA